rnacentral:rRNA from 1 species
UACGGGGGGAGCAAGCGUUGUUCGGAUUUACUGGGCGUAAAGGGCUCGUAGGCGGCCAACUAAGUCAGACGUGAAAUCCCUCGGCUUAACCGGGGAACUGCGUCUGAUACUGGAUGGCUCGAGAUUGGGAGAGGGAUGCGGAAUUCCAGGUGUAGCGGUGAAAUGCGUAGAUAUCUGGAGGAACACCGGUGGCGAAGGCGGCAUCCUGGACCGGUAUUGACGCUGAGGCGCGAAAGCCAGGGGAGCAAACGGG